rnacentral:rRNA from 1 species
UGGGGAAUUUUGGACAAUGGGCGAAAGCCUGAUCCAGCAAUGCCGCGUGUGUGAAGAAGGCCUUCGGGUUGUAAAGCGCUUUUGUCCGGAAAGAAAUCCUUGGCUCUAAUACAGUCGGGGGAUGACGGUACCGGAAGAAUAAGCACCGGCUAACUACGUGCCAGCAGCCGCGGUAAUACGUAGGGUGCAAGCGUUAAUCGGAAUUACUGGGCGUAAAGCGUGCGCAGGCGGUUUGCUAAGACCGAUGUGAAAUCCCCGGGCUCAACCUGGGAACUGCAUUGGUGACUGGCAGGCUAGAGUAUGGCAGAGGGGGGUAGAAUUCCACGUGUAGCAGUGAAAUGCGUAGAGAUGUGGAGGAAUACCGAUGGCGAAGGCAGCCCCCUGGGCCAAUACUGACGCUCAUGCACGAAAGCGUGGGGAGCAAACAGGAUUAGAUACCCUGGUAGUCCACGCCCUAAACGAUGUCAACUAGUUGUUGGGGAUUCAUUUCCUUAGUAACGUAGCUAACGCGUGAAGUUGACCGCCU